CCUACGGGUGGCUGCAGUGGGGAAUAUUGGACAAUGGGGGCAACCCUGAUCCAGCCAUGCCGCGUGUGUGAAGAAGGCCCUCGGGUUGUAAAGCACUUUCAGUGAGGAAGAACGCCUGGUGGUUAAUACCCAUCAGGAAAGACAUCACUCACAGAAGAAGCACCGGCUAACUCCGUGCCAGCAGCCGCGGUAAUACGGAGGGUGCGAGCGUUAAUCGGAAUUACUGGGCGUAAAGCGCGCGUAGGUGGCUUGAUAAGCCGGUUGUGAAAGCCCCGGGCUCAACCUGGGAACGGCAUCCGGAACUGUCAAGCUAGAGUGCAGGAGAGGAAGGUAGAAUUCCCGGUGUAGCGGUGAAAUGCGGAGAGAUCGGGAGGAAUGCCAGUGGCGAAGGCGGCCUUCUGGACUGACACUGACACUGAGGUGCGAACGCGUGGGUAGCAAACAGGAUUAGAUACCCUAGUAGUC
rnacentral:rRNA from 1 species